ensembl:snRNA U6 U6 spliceosomal RNA
GUACUCACUUCAGCAGCACAUAUAAUAAAAUUGGAAUGAUACAGAGAAGAUUAACAUGGCCCCUGUACAAAGAUGAUAUGUAAAUUUGUGAAGUGUUCCAUAUUCUU